AUUGAACGCUGGCGGCAGGCCUAACACAUGCAAGUCGAGCGCGCGUCGCAGGGGUGAGUAUAGUAUGUGGGCUGUCCGUUAGAGGGGGAUAACUAUUGGAAAAGGUGGCUAAUAUCGCAUACUGCCGGAGAACCCAUAUGGGAUUAGCUAGUAGGUAAGGUAAUAGCUUACCCAGGCGACGCUCCCUAGCUGGUCUGAGAGGAUGAUCAGCCACACUGGGACUGAGACACGGCCCAGACUCCUACGGAGGCAGCAGUGGGGAAUAUUGCACAAUGGGCGCAAGCCUGAUGCAGCCAUGCCGCGUGUAUGAAGAAGGCCCUAGGGUUGUAAAGUACUUUCAGUCGGGAGGCGUUACCGACAGAAGAAGCACCGGCUAACUCCGUGCCAGCAGCCGCGGUAAUAC
rnacentral:rRNA from 1 species